CCCUUAGAUGUUCUGGGCCGCACGCGCGCUACACUGAUGCAUUCAACGAGUCUAAAACCUGCUCUGAUAGGGGUGGGUAAUCUUUUGAAUGUGCAUCGUGAUUGGGAUAGAUGAUUGCAAUUUUUCAUCUUCAACGAGGAAUGCCUAGUAAACGCAAGUCAUCAGCUUGCAUUGAUUACGUCCCUGCCCUUUGUACACACCGCCCGUCGCUCCUACCGAUUGAAUGAUCCGAUGAAUAUCAUGGAUUGAGGAUGCAAGUAGGUUCGCCUAUCUUCAUCUUCGAGAAGUGAAGUAAAUCUUAUCAUUUAGAGGAAGUAGAAGUCGUAACA
rnacentral:rRNA from 1 species